GUGCAGAACAGGGGAAACCUGUCAAGGGUAGGAUGGGUGGCAGGAGCAGCAGAGCUCAGACUCUCUCAGAACAACUUAUAAGGGAAGCAGUGUUAGGGCUCCUUAAAGAAGAAGACUUAAGACUCGUUGGGGAAAAGGAGGACAGAUGACAGUGCAAGUUCUUCUCCAAGAUGAAGAGAGACAAAUGUGAAGAUACAGCACCCUUUAUCUUACUACCAAGAAAGCUUCUUCAUUUACAGACUGCUUCAUGGGCCUGAUGUGAAACUAUAUAUAAUUAAAGCACUUAGAGUUGAAGAAAGGAUGAAUGUGUUUAAAAUGUGGCACCCGGCUGCUAGCUGCCAAAUACUUGA